GACGAAGGGGGCUAGCGUUGUUCGGAAUUACUGGGCGUAAAGCGCACGCAGGUGGCUGAGUCAGUCGAUUGUGAAAGCCCUGGGCUUAACCUGGGAAUUGCAGUCGAUACUACUCAGCUAGAGUAUGGGAGAGGGCAGUGGAAUUCCCGGUGUAGCGGUGAAAUGCGUAGAUAUCGGGAGGAACAUCAGUGGCGAAGGCGGCUGCCUGGCCCAAUACUGACACUCAGGUGCGACAGCGUGGGGAGCAAACAGGG
rnacentral:rRNA from 1 species